rnacentral:rRNA from 1 species
UACGUAGGUGGCAAGCGUUGUCCGGAUUUAUUGGGUUUAAAGGGUGCGUAGGCGGCUUUGUAAGUCAGUGGUGAAAUAUGGCAGCUCAACUGUCAGGGUGCCAUUGAUACUGCGGAGCUUGAGUACAGAUGAGGUAGGCGGAAUUGGCGGUGUAGCGGUGAAAUGCUUAGAUAUCGUCAAGAACACCGAUAGCGAAGGCAGCUUACUGGGCUGUAACUGACGCUGAGGCACGAAAGUGUGGGGAUCAAACAGG